UGUUUCGGCUAGGGGGCCAUCCCGGCUUACCAACCCGAUGCAAACUGCGAAUACCGGAGAAUGUUAUCACGGGAGACACACGGCGGGUGCUAACGUCCGUCGUGAAGAGGGAAACAACCCAGACCGCCAGCUAAGGUCCCAAAGUCAUGGUUAAGUGGGAAACGAUGUGGGAAGGCCCAGACAGCCAGGAUGUUGGCUUAGAAGCAGCCAUCAUUUAAAGAAAGCGUAAUAGCUCACUGGUCGAGUCGGCCUGCGCGGAAGAUGUAACGGGGCUAAACCAUGCACCGAAGCUGCGGCAGCGACACUAUGUGUUGUUGGGUAGGGGAGCGUUCUGUAAGCCUGUGAAGGUGGCCUGUGAGGGUUGCUGGAGGUAUCAGAAGUGCGAAUGCUGACAUAAGUAACGAUAAAGCGGGUGAAAAGCCCGCUCGCCGGAAGACCAAGGGUUCCUGUCCAACGUUAAUCGGGGCAGGGUGAGUCGACCCCUAAGGCGAGGCCGAAAGGCGUAGUCGAUGGGAAACGGGUUAAUAUUCCCGUACUUGGUGUUACUGCGAAGGGGGGACGGAGAAGGCUAUGUUGGCCGGGCGACGGUUGUCCCGGUUUAAGCGUGUAGGUGUGUGUUCCAGGUAAAUCCGGUUCACUUUAACACUGAGGCGUGAUGACGAGGCACUACGGUGCUGAAGCAACAAAUGCCCUGCUUCCAGGAAAAGCCUCUAAGCAUCAGGUAACAUCAAAUCGUACCCCAAACCGACACAGGUGGUCAGGUAGAGAAUACCAAGGCGCUUGAGAGAACUCGGGUGAAGGAACUAGGCAAAAUGGUGCCGUAACU
rnacentral:rRNA from 1 species